rnacentral:tRNA from 3 species
GGAUGCGUUCCCGAGUGGCCAAAGGGGACAGACUGUAAAUCUGUUGCGUUUUCGCUUCGGUGGUCCGAAUCCACCCGCAUCCACCA